rnacentral:rRNA from 1 species
GACGAACGCUGGCGGCGUGCUUAACACAUGCAAGUCGAACGAUGAAGCUGGAGCUUGCUCCGGUGGAUUAGUGGCGAACGGGUGAGUAACACGUGAGCAAUCUGCCCCUGACUCUGGGAUAACUGCGGGAAACUGUAGCUAAUACCGGAUACGAGACCCGAAGGCAUCUUCGGGUCUGGAAAGAAUUUCGGUCAAGGAUGAGCUCGCGGCCUAUCAGCUUGUUGGUGAGGUAAUGGCUCACCAAGGCGACGACGGGUAGCCGGCCUGAGAGGGUGACCGGCCACACUGGGACUGAGACACGGCCCAGACUCCUACGGGAGGCAGCAGUGGGGAAUAUUGCACAAUGGGCGAAAGCCUGAUGCAGCAACGCCGCGUGAGGGAUGAAGGCCUUCGGGUUGUAAACCUCUUUUAGCAGGGAAGAAGCGAAAGUGACGGUACCUGCAGAAAAAGCACCGGCUAACUACGUGCCAGCAGCCGCGGUAA